rnacentral:RNase_P_RNA from 1 species
GGAGUCGGCCCGACAGUCGCUCCGGUGUUAACUGAAAAACUCUCUUGAGUGUUGAUUGGUGCAUCGGGGAGGAAAGUCCGGGCUCCAUAGGGCAGAGUGCCAGGUAACGCCUGGGAGGCGCGAGCCUACGGAAAGUGCAACAGAGAGCAGACCGCCUAAGUUUCCUUUGCUCUCCUCUCCCUUUGGGAGAGGGUUGGGGUGAGGGUAACCGGUAAGGGUGAAAGGGUGCGGUAAGAGCGCACCGCGCAACUGGCAACAGGCUGCGGCAUGGUAAACCCCACUCGGAGCAAGACCAAAUAGGAAUCCAUUGGUGCGGCCCGCAUCGGAUUCGGGUAGGUUGCUUGAGGCUAACGGUGACGUUAGUCCCAGAUGAAUGACUGUCCACGACAGAACCCGGCUUACAGGCUGACUCCGAUU